rnacentral:rRNA from 1 species
CACGUAUUUAGCCGGAGCUUUCUUCUAUGGUACUGUCAUUAUCUUCCCAUAGGACAGAACUUUACGAUACGAAUACCUUCUUCGUUCACGCGGCGUCGCUGCAUUAGGGUUUCCCCCAUUGUGCAAUAUUCCCCACUGCUGCCUCCCGUAGGAGUUUGGACCGUGUCUCAGUUCCAAUGUGGCCGUUCAUCCUCUCAGACCGGCUACUGAUCGUCGCCUUGGUGGGCUGUUAUCUCACCAACUAGCUAAUCAGACGCGAGCCCAUCUAUGACCGAUAAAUCUUUGACCGUUGAAACAUGUGUUUCUACGAUUUUAUGCGGUUAUUAACUCCCGGUUUCCCGAGGUCUAUCCCACUGUCAGUAGGCAGGUUGCUCACGCGUACUCCGUCCCGUCCGUCCACUCUCUAUAGUAACUCUUCCACGAGCUCUGUCUACUAACUCCGUUCGUACUCG